CAGCCGCCGCGGGAAUACAGAGGGUGCGAGCGUUAAUCGGAUUUACUGGGCGUAAAGCGUGCGUAGGCGGCUUUUUAAGUCGGAUGUGAAAUCCCUGAGCUUAACUUAGGAAUUGCAUUCGAUACUGGGAAGCUAGAGUAUGGGAGAGGAUGGUAGAAUUCCAGGUGUAGCGGUGAAAUGCGUAGAGAUCUGGAGGAAUACCGAUGGCGAAGGCAGCCAUCUGGCCUAAUACUGACGCUGAGGUACGAAAGCAUGGGGAGCAAACAGGAUUAGAUACCCCAGUAGUCCCUGUCUCUUAUAU
rnacentral:rRNA from 1 species